GCUGCCGUCUGUGGGGUUGCACAGAGUCAGACACGACUGAAGCGACUUAGCAGCAGCAGCAGAUUUAUAUUUUAAAACUAAAUUUUUCAUGAGAUAGAGAAUCAUUAUUUUUUUAAUUAACUAAACUUUAGUCCCUGCAGGAACUCAAUGACUGCCGGGGUCCAGCCCCGGUGGAUCCAGGGAAUUCGAAGGCCCUUGGCAAAUGACUGUUCCCCUUCUUCCUGAUUUCCAAUGUGAUUUAUUUUAAUGUAUUAUUAACUUUGUUUACCCGAAUUCCUGUUGAAGACUACAGUGUUACCACAUAAGUGAAAUCAAGUUUAAUGAAAAAGACUUCAUAGACCACUAUCAAAUAUAUCACCAAAUUCAAGGUGAUCUAUGCAGGCCUUCUUUAAUAUCCUAAUAUAAUGAAUCUAUAAAACAGAACAAUUCCUUUCAUAUCAGUUGAUUACUGGCAACAGUUUCGACUUACAUGAGAUCUCAAAGUACUUUUUGAAACGUUGACUUCAUACAAAAUGAUGAGAACUAUAUAUACAAGUUUUCAUUUUUGAACAAGUGUGUUCUCAGGGAAAAUGGAAGAAGAACAUUUUUUUCUCUGGCCUUCUCUAGUCAGGAGGAAGCAAAUGCCCAAGGAUAUGAGAAGAGAGCACUUUGAGUCAUUCACCUACUUCUCUUUAGCAUCCCAGCAGGUGAAAUGAGGAUACUGAUAGCAGAAAUGCCUGCUUUGAUUUUUCAGUAAAGUAACACAAAAGAAAGCCCUUGAUAGAAAAAAUGUACUAUUUAUGCCAAGGGAGUAUUUUGUCAUGGUGGCCCAUCUUAAUGAAAUAUGGAACAAAUGGUUGCAUGUGUAAUUAUUUGAGAAGCUACACUCCAGCUUCAGUGUACUCCUUGUGUCUGUGCUUGAACUGCCAUGGCCAGUAGACCCCAGCUUUGUCCCUGGAUUUCCCUGAUCUCCCUCUCUGCCAAGACCACAAGAAGCACCAAAUGCUCUGCAGUUAGUAACCUACUGUCUGCUUACUCGAGGAAUCUCAGGUCUUCUUCAGUCAGACUUAUCCACUUACUCAUUAACAUUUUUCUAACUACCUAGUUUUUGCUGGACAGAGUAAGGGUGAUUGGGUAUACAUGGCGAAUCCAAUGGGGAUCCUGCCUUCAGGAGGUUUAGUUAUGAAGCCUAGACAUAUGUAUGACAUAAAAGAUAUAAUAGUUAGUGACAGGGAGAGGACAUGGUUGCAAAGAAGAAAGUUGGAAAAUUAAGGAAGUUAAUGUAAGUUAGAAAAUUAAGGAAGACUUCAUGGGUGAGAUCACAGCUAAAUGGAGACUUGAAGUAUGAAAAGCCCCUGGAGCCACAGAAUCUCUCAGCCAUCCACUUCCAUCUUCCUGCUAGCUGCUCAAGGAGGCUGGAAACUGUUGCACUUCCCACCCUGGAAAGAGUCCCUCAUGUAAAAGACCCAAAUGGCCGUUCCCUCUCCAUCUUAUUAAAAAUCGUGGCAAAAGCUUAGGUUCCUGGUUACCCUCUAGCCUUCUCUGAUUGUUGCUUCCUUUUGGUGGAGAAUCAGAGGAGUAAGCCAAUUUGGCCACUGUCUUCUAUCACCACCAUGCUUGCGUGAAACGUGCAAUGGUAGCUGACAGAGACUUUCAGUACUUCUGAGAAUGAAUUGCAUCUGCCAAUAAGGCUUGCACAGCCAUGGGGCCGCUGUGUGUUUCCUGACCCUGUUUGGUUUUGCAGCGUGUAUUGUUAUAAAAGACAUUGUUUUGGAGAGAAAUGAUACAAUCCAUUUGCAUAUGGUUAAACCCCUUGCCAGACUUCACUUUGGUUUGGAUAUCAAGUGAAAAUCUUUAAGUGAGCAGCUAAGAUAGUAACAAAAGCUAGAAAUGAAACGAGACACUGGACAUUUUUGGUCACUAAACUAUGGAUGAAUUGAUCUGGAAUUCUUAUACCCAUGUUACUCCUUCCUUCUCCGCUGCCUCGCCACCCCAAAAUUCUUUGUGAGUGUGACAAAAGAGGUUUUGAACCAUCUCUUGGCCAUUACUCAAUAGAUACAGCUCUUGGAUUAUUUCAGAAAUUUUAAAUGCCAUUCUUUAAAUGUAACCCUACUUAUUACUCUUUGGAACUUCCUUGUGGAAUAAUGGAAAAGCAACUCAUCUUGAUAAGAAGACAUCUGAGUCUUUACAGAAGAACAGAAAUAAAAAUGGAGUGUCCCAGGAAGCUGUCCUUUACAGACUGAAUCACCCAGUCUUCCUUGCCCUCUGGCUUCUGAUUGGGUUCAAGCAAUAGCAGGCUCUAACAGGAAAUCACAGGAAGGAAGAGAGAACUGAGUCUCCAUACCCUGCUCUUUCUGCUGUGGCUGGUUUCCUGAGGCCACAACUCGAGCAGGCGCCCCUCUCAAGGGUACAGCUGUCACCCAUUACAGGUACAGCUUCCUCCCUGCCCCUGGUGACCUGGAGACUGGUAUCAGUCCCUGAUUGGCUCCUUUAACCCUAUUCACAUCUCUGUAUAUAAUGCCUUCAUUAAACUCUUUAGAGUAUG